CCAGACCAGACCAUCCUCCUAUAGAAAACCAGGCUAUUAUCCCAGAGCCCCUCACCUCUGGAGUCCCUGCUGAAGGAGAGGACACCCCCCAACCCAAAGCAGGAGGCACACACCUGGACCUCCCCACAGCAGCUCCAGCCCAGUGAAGUCAUGGUCUUCAGAGGGCUCCAGGGGAUGAGGUCCUGACGAGGGGAGAUGGACCAGCCUCCAGAGAGGCAUUCCUACAAAUGCAAACCCCCACCUGAGAUGGAUGAAAGGGUGCAGAAGGCUCUGAUUGUCCGUGAUAUUCCAUGGUGACAGGUCAGCAUCAUCCCAAGGGAUCCAUGGGGACCCUACUCGGAAUGCCUGAAACAGAGCAGAACCCAUGGUGGGGACCUAUCUGUGCCAGGGACAUGGGGAAAAGAGGGAACAGAGUAUCUCCUCUCCCCAGAAUCCUGAGGGAGAUCAGGACCCUCUCAGAUUCGUCGGGCAUAAGAAGAAGGGCCUGUUUGCCCAACGGGAGCAGCCUGACAGCCUUAUCUGCUUCACCAGAGAUGAUCCUCACCUGGGCCUGAACUGAUCUGGUGACCAGUCCCCACAUGAGCAUCACCUGGACCUGGUGACCGUGGUCCCCACCUGGGCUCAUUGGCUACCGAUCACUACGAGCCAAGAUGGACCCUCACUUCUACUGAUGCCCUGCUUUGAUUCAGAUCCCUGAUUGGGUCUCACCUCCAUUGGAUGGCUAUACAUCAGGACAUCUGGAGCACCUGAGGACUAUGAUCCCCACCUGGCCUUACCUGCUCCUACUGGCAACAUCACCCCUUGGUUCUCAUUGGCUGGACUCUGCUAUGAUCCUCAACCGGUACAUAAUUGCUGUUACUGCUUAUGAUACCAUUUGGGCCAUACCUGCUGCCACAUACCUAAGUAUACAACCACCUGGGCCUCAUGGGGACCUGGUGACUGUGAUCCCCACCUGGGUUCAUCGGCUACUGGUGUCUAAGAUCCAGGAUGGACCCUCACUUGCUCCUGAUGCCUGGGUCCAUCCCCAGCAUCUCAUUUGUUCUUGGUGACUGUGGUCCUUCUCUGGACUGACCUGUCAUGCUUGCCUCUGAUCCAUUCCUGGGAUUCACCUGCCCUUGCAGGAAGGGUCCCCACCUCUAGUGGGUUCUCUAGCAUCUAUGGUACUUGUCUGGGCCUCAGAUGAUGGUAUUCGGCUAUAUCAGCCCUUUCCAAGGCUAGCAGGGUCUCUAGGUCCUCUUGCCUGGUGCUACAAACCAAACACAUUCAAGGAUGACACCGCAUGAAAACCUUCAGAGGGGAUCCCUGGGUGGCGCAGCGGUUUGGCGCCUGCCUUUGGCCCAGGGCGCGAUCCUGGAGACCCGGGAUCGAAUCCCACAUCAG